rnacentral:tmRNA from 1 species
CGGCAGGCGAAAUGACGGGGCCGAACUAGGAUCGACGUGUGUUGAAAAGCGCAGUUUUCACCCGGGCUGAGUAACCCGUUCAAGGCUCAAAACCCACAAGUGCCAACGACAACGAAGCACUUGCUCUCGCCGCGUAAUUCUAGGGGCUAACGCCCUGAAGUUAUAAGGUGAAAGCACGGUUCGGACCGAACCGGGUAACAGAAUCGGAAACC